CCCAUACUCCCUUCCUCUCAUUCAACUUCACGUGAAAACUAAAACAAAGCAAAAACCUCCUUCUCUGUUCUUCCUCCUUCACGUUCGUUUGCUCCUCCUUGCGCAGCCACCACCUCACCACCGUCGGACGCCGCCUCCGUCGCUGCCGCCGCGGCCCAGCUGCGACCACCAAGCCAACCGCACCGCACCACCUGCACCUUCGCCGUGGCCCUGCCCAUUCGGCUUGCUCGUCCCUCCUUCCUCCUCCACGCAAGCACAGCAUUCUCUUGUUUCGGUUUGUUUGCGGCAGCCACCACCACCGCACGCACCACCAGGCCUGACAACCUCCGCAAGCCGCCGCCUUGCCGCCGCCGUGAUCUAUCCGCCGACCAACCCUUCCCUCUUCUCUUUUUGGCGGAGAAUUCUCUCUAGGCGACUUUUGAAAGUGUUAAAGUGGCCUAUCAGUUUGUUUACACAAGUCUCUAAGGAUCAAUAAGCAUUGUCCAUCUGCAGGUUUGAAGAUGUUGCAUCAUUGGGAUCGGGAAUAGAGAGCUUGUAUUUAGUUUUGAUUUGCUAAGUUGACUUGGGUUUGUUAAUUGGGACUUUAAACUUGUCGUACUAUUUAUAUUUCCUUAUUUUUUGUUGGAUGAUUUUUGGGACUAAACCUGUAAUCGAUUAUUUAUAAACCUACAGUUAGUUUUAUGUUUUCCGCUGCAAAAUUCUGAAUAAGCCGUUACGUUUUCACACGGGCGAUAAUGCCUUGAUAAUUCUCUACGUUUUAUAUUAAAAGAUUAUUUUAGAAAAGAGAGAAUUGUCGGGGUGUUACAAAGUGGUAUCAGAGCUAAGGUUUUACUUUAAUAAAUUUUUAGGCGCCUAACUAUCUAGUUAUUUAAAAUAAAUUUCUUAAAAAUCGAGAUUCUACGUAUUAUAGUGUUCAAAAAUUGGUAC